GUCAAGGUUGUAGAGAAACAUCAGGAAUAAUUCUUGGCUUCAAGAAUCUCAGUUUUUAAUUGCAACAAGACUAGUGAGUAAAAUUAAAGUUAAGUGAUCAGUUUGUACAGAAUAUAAAGAACUACCAAAUUUUCUUGGAGAUCAAGGACAGAGAAGUUCAUCUGAUCAGUUUGAGCAAUGUUUACUGUGAGUACAAGAUUGAUGGGGCAUCCCUGAUGGAGUGAAAGAUACCAAACACCAGGCCUGGAUGGCCAGGGAAUAGGCUGCCCACAAGAGGAGGAAGGCACAGGAGGAAGGCCUCUGGUCUGUGUGGGAACAGGAAGAAGAGCAAUCAGGUUGGAAAGGAAGUUUCAGAGAUGAAGAUUUGGAGAGGACCUGGGAGAUCUGGAAUUAAUCUCAGAUCAUCCAUUUGAAAUGCUAUCUGGAGCAAGCUUCUCUUUUUGAGGGCUCAGAUUCCUUUGUGAAAAAUGGCACCUGUUACUUAGAGGCUUCUGAUGGAUUGAGCGUCUUAUAGGAGCCGAUUAAGGCAAGUGGUGAAGGACUCAAAGGUAAGAGGGUGAGCUUGGUGGCCUAAUGGGAGUGACCAGAGACCUCUCAUCCUUUUCACCCUGUGAGGAGACAGCAAGAAGGCACUGUCCACAAGCCAGAAGGGGAGAUUGUGCACCAGAGGCUUAAUUUCUUCUAUUAGCCUGGCUGCUGGCAAUAACUUCCUGAAGGACACCUUCCGGACAAACUUCCUCUAAUGUUUAUGUUGCCUCCACCAGCCAGUCUUCUAAGUAAGCCAGAUUCUCCUCUGUGUUGUGCCUCUGCCAUGCCAUCUUAACUUGGAGCCAGAUGACUAUGGACUGAAACUUCUACAAACUGUUACAAAAAGCUCAAAGGUGAAAACUGUGAGCCACGUCAUUCGCAGAAGCCCCAGAAAUCCCCAUCACAGUCUUAAUAGCCCUGCUGGCACGUUGGCCCCCAUGGUAGAACAUAUGCUUUAAAGUUAACCUGUUUUGAAACAUAAACAGAUUUUUCGCUUCACACAUACUGCAACUGGACAAAAAGGCUAUUUUCGAUCACAAGCUCCUAGGACAGAGAAGCUGAGCCAGUUCCAGCACCCAGAAGGAAGCUCCCCCACUGCCAUACCAAGCUCCUAGGGCAGACAAGGCGAGCUGCGUGGGUAUCAGAAGCACCCCCACACCCCCGUGGAAAUGAGAAGACACAUAAACAAGCCUCAAAAACAGACUUCCAGAUCACCUACAGCAACCCCAAAGGGAAAUGAGAUGGAACACUCUGAUACUCAACCACCUGGACUCUCUGAACUGGCAACAAAAGAGGAUCUGGGAAAAAUGAAAUCAGAAAUAAUUACUCAGGUAACAGCAAAGAUUUUGCUCAUGGUGCAAGGGAUGAUUAAUAAAUCUAGAGAGGACACAGAUAAAAAAAUAGAGGAUCUGAGGAACAUGAUGGAAUCCCAACAUAGGAAACAAAUGGAAUCCAUAAAACAGAUACAAACAGAUUUCCAAGAGAUUGAAAACUCCAUCGAAAGUCUGUGCAGCAGAAUGAACCAAUGUGAGGAUAGAAUUUCACAUAUAGAAGAUAAGAUUGCAAUUAGUUAGGAGGAAAAGAAAAAUUGCUUUAAAAUUAUAAGGGAACAUGAGAAAUCAAUCCAGCAGCUGCUAGACGAUACAAAGAGGAAUAAUAUAAGACUGAUUGGAGUCAAUGAAGAAAGAGGAGAGAGUGCAGAUGACAUAAAAAAAACUGUUCACAGAAGUGAUGGCAGAAAACUUCCCAACCAGGAGAAAAGAACUUGACAUACAGAUAAGUGAGGCAUAUAGGACUCCAAAUAGCCUUGAUCAAAAAAAAAUCUACACAUAGGCAUAUAAUAGUUAGGAUUCCAGAAAUCCAACAGAAGAACAAAAUUCUACAAGCAGUGAGAGAAAAGAAACAAAUCACAUACAAAGGAAAGCCCAUCAGAAUCACAGCAGACUUCUCAAUGCAAACCCUCAAGGCAAGAAGAGCUUGGAGUGAUGUAUUUGAAGCCCUAAAGGAAAACAGCCUCCAACCCAGAUUGAUGUACCCUGCAAAACUAUCUUCCAAAAUUGAUGAAGAAAUAAGAUACUUUCAUGAUAAAGAGCACCUCAGGAACUUCAUGAAUACCAACCUGGCACCCCAAAAAAUUUUAGACAAUACCUUAGGAAAAGACAAUGAGGAUCACAACCCCAGGAAACCCAGCAGAAUGAAUCUAUUGGGC
ensembl:lncRNA